rnacentral:rRNA from 1 species
UACAGGGGGUGCAAACGUUGCUCGGAAUCAUUGGGCGUAAAGCGCACGUAGGCGGUCUGUCGCGUCGGCUGUGAAAUCCCGAGGCUCAACCUCGGGUCUGCAGUCGAUACGGGCAAACUAGAGUAUUGCAGGGGAGACUGGAAUUCCUGGUGUAGCGGUGAAAUGCGCAGAUAUCAGGAGGAACACCGGUGGCGAAGGCGGGUCUCUGGGCAAUAACUGACGCUGAGGAGCGAAAGCGUGGGGAGCGAACAGG